rnacentral:rRNA from 1 species
AUUGAACGCUGGCGGCAUGCUUUACACAUUCAAGUCGAACGGCAGCGCGGGCUUCGGCCUGGCGGCGAGUGGCGAACGGGUGAGUAAUACAUCGGAACGUGCCCAGUAGUGGGGGAUAGCUCGGCGAAAGCCGGAUUAAUACCGCAUACGACCUGAGGGUGAAAGCGGGGGAUCUUCGGACCUCGCGCUAUUGGAGCGGCCGAUGGCAGAUUAGCUAGUUGGGGGGGUAAAGGCCUACCAAGGCGACGAUCUGUAGCUGGUCUGAGAGGACGACCAGCCACACUGGGACUGAGACACGGCCCAGACUCCUACGGGAGGCAGCAGUGGGGAAUUUUGGACAAUGGGCGAAAGCCUGAUCCAGCAAUGCCGCGUGUGUGAUGAAGGCCUUCGGGUUGUAAAGCACUUUUGGCGGGAACGAAAAGGACUGUGCCAAUACCACGGUUCGAUGACGGUACCCGCAGAAUAAGCACCGGCUAACUACGUG